rnacentral:rRNA from 1 species
GACGAACGCUGGCGGCGUGCUUAACACAUGCAAGUCGAACGGAAAGGCCCUGCUUUUGUGGGGUGCUCGAGUGGCGAACGGGUGAGUAACACGUGAGUAACCUGCCCUUGACUUUGGGAUAACUUCAGGAAACUGGGGCUAAUACCGGAUAGGAGCUCCUGCUGCAUGGUGGGGGUUGGAAAGUUUCGGCGGUUGGGGAUGGACUCGCGGCUUAUCAGCUUGUUGGUGGGGUAGUGGCUUACCAAGGCUUUGACGGGUAGCCGGCCUGAGAGGGUGACCGGCCACAUUGGGACGGAGAUACGGCCCAGACUCCUACGGGAGGCAGCAGUGGGGAAUAUUGCACAAUGGGCGGAAGCCUGAUGCAGCCACGCCGCGUGCGGGAUGACGGCCUUCGGGUUGUAAACCGCUUUCGCCUGUGACGAAGCGUGAGUGACGGUAAUGGGUAAAGAAGCACCGGCUAACUACGUG